AGAGAUAAUGACUGCAGCACAAUGAAGCAACCAGCUAAGGUGCCAAUGGACUCUUUGGAUCAUAUAUACACGUGGUGAAAAAUAAUCCAGUUCCCAUGACUGGAUCAUCUUCAAAUAUGUGGCCAAUGCCUAGCAAGGCUGGCUGAGACCAGAGGCCACUGAGGCAGAGUCACCUGCUGUGCUGCUUCUCAUCCCUCUCCUUUGAUGUGCCACUACCUGCCACCUGCCUGAGGAUGAACCACCUUGCCAAGAUCUUCAGGAGUUAACACCAAACUGUGAUCUUCACAAGUUCCUACUAAAAGGCUGAUCUGUCAACUUCAAAGGAACUUUGGGUGACUGGGAAU
rnacentral:lncRNA from 1 species